UACAGAGGUCGCAAGCGUUGUUCGGAUUCAUUGGGCGUAAAGGGUGCGUAGGCGGCGCGGUAAGUCGGGUGUGAAAUUUCGAGGCUUAACUUCGAAACUGCAUUCGAUACUGCCGUGCUUGAGGACUGGAGAGGAGACUGGAAUUUACGGUGUAGCGGUGAAAUGCGUAGAUAUCGUAAGGAAGACCAGUGGCGAAGGCGGGUCUCUGGACAGUUCCUGACGCUGAGGCACGAAGGCCAGGGGAGCAAACGGG
rnacentral:rRNA from 1 species